GCCCGCUUGGCACAGCGGUAAUGCGCCUCACUAGUAUCAGAAGAUUCUACUGAGAACAGCAAAUGAGGAGAUGACUGGUUCGACUCCAGUAGUGGGCA